UACGAAGGGGGCUAGCGUUGCUCAGAAUCACUGGGCGUAAAGGGUGCGUAGGCGGGUCUUUAAGUCAGGGGUGAAAUCCUGGAGCUUAACUCCAGAACUGCCUUUGAUACUGAAGAUCUUGAGUUCGGGAGAGGUGAGUGGAACUGCGAGUGUAGAGGUGAAAUUCGUAGAUAUUCGCAAGAACACCAGUGGCGAAGGCGGCUCACUGGCCCGAUACUGACGCUCAUGCACGAAAGCGUGGGGAGCAAACAGG
rnacentral:rRNA from 1 species